AUUGAACGCUGGCGGCAGGCCUAACACAUGCAAGUCGAGCGAGCGGCGGAUGGUUGAGUAAUGUAUGGGGACUGCCCGAUAGCGGGGGAUCACUACUGGAAACGGUGGCUAAUACCGCAUACUAUCGGAUAACCUAUAUGGGAUUAGCUAGUAGGUGGGGUAAAGGCUCACCUAGGCGACGAUCUAUAGCUGGUCUGGGAGGAUGAUCAGCCACACUGGGACGGAGACACGGCCCGAAAUCCUACGGCGACAGCAGAGGUGAAUAUUGCACAAUGGGCGCAAGCCUGAUGCGGCCAUGACGCGAGUAUGAAGAAGGCCUUAGGGUUGUAAGGUACUUUCGGCGGGGGGGCAGUACCAGGAGAAGAAGCGCCGGCUGACUUCGUGCCAGCAGCCGCGGUAAUUC
rnacentral:rRNA from 1 species